rnacentral:rRNA from 1 species
ACUUCCAUUAAUCAAGAACGAAAGUUAAGGGAGUGAAGACGAUCAGAUACCGUCGUAAUCUUAACCAUAAACUAUGCCGACUAGGUUUUGGAUGAAAAUUUUUAAAUAAGGUUUCCCUCCGGGGAUUCCUUAGAUUGCUUCCUUCAGUACCUUAUGAGAAAUCAAAGUCUUUGGGUUCUGGGGCGAGUAUUCGCGCAAGCGAGAAAGUUAAAAGAAUUGACGGAAGGGCACCACCAGGCGUGGAGCUUGCGGCUUAAUUUGACUCAACACGGGGAAACUCACUAGUUUAAGACAAGAGUAGGAUUGACAGAUUGAUAGCUCUUUCUUGAUUUCUUGGAUGGUGAUGCAUGGCCGUUUUUAGUUCGUGAAUAUGAUUUGUCUGGUUAAUUCCGAUAACGAACGAGAUCUUAACCUGCUAAUUAGCGGCGAGUACGCUAUAUCCUCUAUCGGGAGUUUGGUUUUGACGUUUAUGCGAACUAUGCUUAAUCAAUUGGUUUACCUUUUGCUCUUUUGCAUAUGCUUCUGCAUUUACUUCUUCCUCUCUUCUGAUAAGGAUGUAUUCGCUUUAUUUAAUGCUUCUUAGAGGAACGAUGUGUGUCUAACACAAGGAAGUUUAAGGCAACAACAGGUCUGUGAUGUCCUUAGAUAUACUAGGCUGCACGCGUGCUACACUGAUAUGUAAAACGAGU